UACGAAGGGGGCUAGCGUUGCUCGGAAUCACUGGGCGUAAAGCGCACGUAGGCGGAUCUUUAAGUCAGGGGUGAAAUCCCAAGGCUCAACCUUGGAACUGCCUUUGAUACUGGGGAUCUCGAGUCCGGAAGAGGUGAGUGGAACUGCGAGUGUAGAGGUGAAAUUCGUAGAUAUUGGGAAGAACACCGGUGGCGAAGGCGGCGAGCUGGCCUGUUACUGACGCUGAGGCGCGACAGCGUGGGGAGCAAACAGG
rnacentral:rRNA from 1 species